AAUCAACGCUGGCGGCGUGCCUAACACAUGCAAGUCGAACGCGAGAGGGGCUUCGGCCCCGAUUGAGUGGCGAACGGGUGAGUAACGCGUGGGUGACCUACCUUCGAGUGGGGGAUAACGUCCCGAAAGGGACGCUAAUACCGCAUAACAUCCUGCUUUUGAAUGGGUGGAGAUCAAAGCCGGGGAUCGCAAGACCUGGCGCUUGAUGAGGGGCCCGCGUCUGAUUAGCUAGUUGGGAGG
rnacentral:rRNA from 1 species